rnacentral:lncRNA from 12 species
CAAAAAAUCAGUUGAGGGCUAUUUGGUGAUUUGACAAUAAGUAUAAAAUGCCAUCGGCCCAGCAAUUCUACUCAUCCAUAUACAUGGAACAAGUAAUUACAAGUUCCAUCAGUGAACAGACCGGAACACAGUAAGUAUAAAACGGGUACAUUUAGCCAGGUGGAGGGAGUUAGAGAAGGCUUUGUGGAGAAAGGGACAUUUUAAUUGAAACAUAAAGGAUAUUCAGGAGUUAGGAUGGGAGCGGGAUAGUGGGUGGGGAAUAUUCCGUGUAGGCAAAUUAUGAACAUGAAGGCUCUUUGCGGGGGUGAGGAGGAGGGAAAGGCCUUGCAUGUUUCAGAAAGAGGCCCAGAGCGGCUGGGGCUGGAGCACGGGGCGUGUGACCAAGAGCAGUAGGCGGGAUGAGCCAGGCACGAGGCCUUGAGCAGGUUGGGUCACUCCAGAGGACACUGGGAAGUCGCUGUGGGGGAAGGAAAGCGUGGGGAACCCUCCUGAGAUAUGUUUUGAAAAAUCACCCCAACGACUGCCCUUUGAGUAGACAAGAGCAGAAGGACCAGCGGAGAUGGGGCGGCUACUGCGGAGUCGGCAGCUGCCAUGUGACAGACGCGUGCAGACACCACCUCGUCCCUCGGGAGCGUGACAUCCAUCGGGACCAGGGAUGGGCAGCAGGUGAACCUACUCAGCCAAGAGCCAGGUGGCCGACCAGCCUUGGCGCCGACUCCGGGUCACAGGCCUCCCAUGACCCUGCCGGGAGCCCCCCACCCGAAGUCGCCGGUUGUCCCCGUCGCCCUGCAGGUGUCCCGGACCUCGUUUGCCCUUUUCUGCCUCUUACAUGCCUGUACAGCCUGAGGCUUCGCGGCCUCCCUAAGCACAUCUUGCACUACACGCGUCCUUCUGUCCCAGGCUGCGGGCAGCGUGCCCAGGCUGGCCUCUGUCGCCCCGGUGCCCAGCUCUGCUGUCACCCCACCGUGGGCCCCACUCCGCCCUCGGACAGGUCUUCCCACAGCGACACCAUAAGCCCCCGGGGCUCCCCUAGCCUCGGCCUGGGAGUCCACCCUGGGGUGUUCUGCUGUCCCUCCCGCCUCGCCACGCUCCAUUUGCCCCCACGCUCCCCGAACUUCAGCUCCUUCCUUCCUGUCUCAGGGCGUUGGCACAAGCAACUCCUCUGACAGGGCCGCUUGCUCCGUCCACCCUCCAGCCUCCGCCACUCAGGUCCCACCUCAUGUGCGUGGACACCUGUGUCCCACUCGUCCGACUCGCGUGUACCUGAUUCAUACCUGUUUUCCCAGGCAGGCCGCAUGGCCCGUCUCCGGCUUCUUCACUGCCAGGCCCACGGGGGCUUCUCGUCCAGCGUGUGCUCAACAGAUGAAGACAGUCUAUGCUUUGGAAGAGUAAAAGUUCUCUAAAAUCCCUGCUGUGAUGCGGAGCUUUUUCUCAUGUGCGUGUUGGCCAUGUCUGCGUCUUCCUCUGUGAAAUGUCUGUUCAUGUCUUUUGCCCAUUUCAUGAUUGGAUUGUCUAUUUGCUGUUGAGUUGAAUAAGUUCUUUAUAGAUCUUGGAUGCUAGUCCUUUAUCUGAUAUGUCAUUUGCAAAUAUCUUCUCCCAUUCUGUAGGUUGUUUUGUAGUUUUGUGGACUGUUUCAUUUGCUGUGCAGAAGCUUCUUAUCUGAUGAAGUCACAAUAGUUCAUUUUGGCUUCUGUUUCCCUUGCCUUCAUGGAUGUGUCUUGCAAGAAGUUGCUGUGGCCAAGUUCAAAAAGGGUGUUGCCCGUGUUCUCCUCUAGGAUUUUGAUGGAUUCUUGUGUCACAUUUAGAUCUUUCAUCCAUUCUGAGUUUACUGUUGUGUCUGAUGUUAGAGAAUGGUCCAGUUUCCUUUUUCUGCACGUGGCUGCCCAAUGUUCCCAGCACCAUUUAUUGAAGAGACUGUCCUUUUUCCAGUGGAUGGUCUUUCCUGCUUUGUCGAAUAUUAGCUGACCAUUGAGUUGCUAAUGAACAACUGGGAAAUGAACAAGGGGUGGUGGAAAGGGAGGUGGGCAGGGGGCGUUGGGGUGACUGGGUGAUGGGCACCAAGGGGGGGCACUUGAUGGGAUGAGCACUGGGUGUU